CGUACACUCCUGCGGGAGGCAGCAGUGGGGAAUAUUGCACAAUGGGCGCAAGCCUGAUGCAGCGACGCCGCGUGGGGGAUGAAGGCCUUCGGGUUGUAAACUCCUUUCGCUAGGGACGAAGCUUUUUUGUGACGGUACCUAGAUAAGAAGCACCGGCUAACUACGUGCCAGCAGCCGCGGUAAUACGUAGGGUGCGAGCGUUGUCCGGAAUUACUGGGCGUAAAGGGCUCGUAGGUGGUUUGUCGCGUCGUCUGUGAAAUUCUGGGGCUUAACUCCGGGCGUGCAGGCGAUACGGGCAUAACUUGAGUGCUGUAGGGGUAACUGGAAUUCCUGGUGUAGCGGUGAAAUGCGCAGAUAUCAGGAGGAACACCGAUGGCGAAGGCAGGUUACUGGGCAGUUACUGACGCUGAGGAGCGAAAGCAUGGGUAGCGAACAGGAUUAGAAACCCGUGUAGUCC
rnacentral:rRNA from 1 species